CCCUUAGAUGUUCUGGGCCGCACGCGCGCUACACUGAUGCAUUCAACGAGUUUCUUCCUGGUCCGAAAGGAACGGGUAACCUUUGCAAAGCACAUCGUGAUGGGGAUAGAUUAUUGCAAUUAUUAGUCUUGAACGAGGAAUUCCUAGUAAGCACAAGUCAUCAGCUUGUGUUGAUUACGUCCCUGCCCUUUGUACACACCGCCCGUCGCUCCUACCGAUUGAAUGUUCCGGUGAGCUCUUCGGACUGCGCGGUCUGCAGUUUCUGCGUUCCGUGCGGAAAGUUGCGCAAACCUUAACAUUUAGAGGAAGGAGAAGUCGUAACA
rnacentral:rRNA from 1 species